CUGGUGGAAUGCCAUGGCUCAGCAAAAUGACCUGAGGCCAGUCUGAGAGAACAGUCCUGUGGCAGGUAGCUUUAUGUCUCCUGAUAGAAGUGAAACAGAAAGUUUAAGUCAGUCAGAGCACCAGGUGGACCACUGAAAUCUCUGCUGAGGGGAAGCAGGAGUCAGGAGGGGCUAAAUGUCAUGUCUCAGCAAAAUGGCACAGGUCAAAUCUAAGUGAAUAGUUUUCUUGCAUGUAGCUUUGAAAAGAUCUAGAGCUCCCACCAGGGGUUAGACAGGAAGAACCAGGAAGUUGGUGCAAGUCAUGUCACAGCAUGAGGCUCAGGAGGCUCUACUGAGGGGAAGCAGGUGUAGGUGGGGAUAACCUGGCUAAAUGUAAUGACUCAGAAAAACAACAUAGGUUCAUUCUGAGAACAGUCCUCUUGCAGGUAACUUUAGGUAGUUUUAAGACUCCCAACAGGGUUGAAACAGAAGUUUAUGUCAGUGUGUUUGCUGAGUGUGCCCCUGGAGAAUCUGCUGAGGGGAAGUGGUGGUAGGCAGUUCUGGAUAAACACUAUGAUGCAGGAAAAACAGCACAGGGACAGGCUGAGAGAAGAGUUCUCUUGCAGGUAGCCUUAGGUAGCACUAGGGCUCAUAAUAAGGGUCAAACAGAAUUUU